rnacentral:rRNA from 1 species
CCUACGGGAGGCAGCAGUGAGGAAUAUUGGUCAAUGGGCGCUAGCCUGAACCAGCCAAGUAGCGUGAAGGAUGACUGCCCUAUGGGUUGUAAACUUCUUUUAUAUGGGAGUAAAGUGCAGUAUGUAUAUUGCUGUGCACGUACCGUAUGAAACCGGAACGGCAAACUUCGCGCCAGCAGCCGCGGUAAUACGGAGGAUCCGAGCGUUGUCCGGAUUUAUUGGGUUUAAGGGGAGCGUAGGCGGGUUGUUAAGUCGGUUGUGAAAGUUUGCGGCUCAACCGGAAAGUGGCAGUUGAUACUGGCAUCCUUGAGUGCAGUAGAGGUGGGCGGAAUUCGAGGUGUAGCGGUGAAAUGCUUAGAUAUAACGAAGAACACCAGUUGCGAAGGCAGCCUGCUGGACUGUAACUGACGCUGAUGCUCGAAAGUGUGGGUAUCAAACAGGAUUAGAUACCCCAGUAGUC